rnacentral:miRNA from 1 species
CAAUUAAUAUUUAAAGAGUACAGCUGAGCGGCUAUACUAUUUAAUAUUCAAAUAUAUUUAAAGAGUAUAGCCGGACGGCUGUACUAUUUAAAAUAUUAAAU